CUUUCUUCUCCACCCCACUCUGGCACUCUAGCUGAUUAGUUUAGCACACGCACCACCCAAACCACCUGCUUUUCUCCUCCUCCGCCCCCUUCUCCCCCCAAAUUCAGUCUCCACUACUCUUCCUCCCCUCCGCCUCUUCUCCAACAGAUCAAGGGGCGCCAGGAGCAGCAACAAGAUCGCCGGAUCGGCAGCUCGGCUCGUCGCAGGCAAGAGCGGAUGGAGUUCGUGCUGAUCAUAUCCCUGCCGCUCCUCAUCCUGAUCGUGAUCAUCGCCGUCGUCCUCUGCAUCGUGUGCCGCUAGCCAGAUGUCGACGCCAGAACAAUCAGCAGAUCGCCUCUGCUGUGACUGUGAUCAUACCAUAUGUUAAUUAAUCCAUGAUUAUUACAUCAUGAUGACUCGAUUAAAAGAAAGCUCUUCCCCUC